rnacentral:rRNA from 1 species
AGCUCCAAUAGCGUAUAUUAAAGUUGUUGCAGUUAAAAAGCUCGUAGUUGGAUGUCCGGUUUGUGGUUGGCUCCCAGCACUCUUUGUGUUGGUUUUGCCUGCCACGGCCAUGUUUGGGUGGAAGCCAUGUGGCAUUAGGUUGUCGUGUGGCGGAGGCCCAUCGUUUACUGUGAAAAAAUUGGAGUGUUCAAAGCAGGCUUAUGCCGUUGAACAUAUUAGCAUGGAAUAAUGAGAUAGGGCCUUGGUACUAUUUUGUUGGUUUGUGCACCAAGGUAAUGAUUAACAGGGACAGUUGGGGGUAUUCGUAUUCCGUUGUCAGAGGUGAAAUUCUUGGAUUUACGGAAGACGAACUAAUGCAAAAGCAUUUACCAAGGAUGUUUUCAUUAAUCAAGAACGAAAG